UUUUUAAUCAUAUCACCUUGUGUGCAAUGUCAGUUGUUCUCUUUUUUGAGAAUGACCAAACAUCAACUUAAAUUUUAACUCUUUGUCUGAAAAAUAUUAUGAAUAAAAUAAUUCAAAAUACAACUUUCAACAACGGAUCUCUUGGCUCUCGCAUCGAUGAAGAACGCAGCGAAAUGCGAUACGUAAUGUGAAUUGCAGAAUUCAGUGAAUCAUCGAAUCUUUGAACGCAUAUUGCGCCUCCUGGUAGUCCGGGAGGCAUGCCUGUCCGAGCGUCACUAAAUCAACUCAAGCUGGUCGUGGAGGAAGAGUCCGUCCUGUUGCGGUCUCCCCUCCGAAAAUCAACGGCGGAGAGUCACAGGGAUUCGGCGUAGUAGUUUCAUUCAUCGAUCUUCCAGUGUCGUUCCUGCCAGCAGACCCCCAAGAUUCUCUUGAUUGACCUCGGAUCAGGUAGGGACACCCGCUGAACUUAAGCAUAUCAAUAA
rnacentral:rRNA from 1 species